AUGAAGAGUCUUACACAAGUACCUAGGAACCAGGUUGUGAAAGUGGUCACAAUAUCCACGGAAAGUGGAUCAGAACUGAACCCAGUGGGUUUUUUUUCUUACCCAGUCCUCUGGGAUACACUGGUUGCAUUGUCUUAUUCAUUUGGGAUUAGCACUAGACCAUGGCAGGACACAGAAAAUGAGCUGCUUGGAGCUUAAUGCCUGCUGCAGUGCACAUAGGAGGUGUACGUUUCGUGGGCAUACUACCCUCAAAUCAGCUUCGAACUACAUUAUAUGGCCCAUGUUGAACCACCCUUGAACCACCACUGGAACAGACAGUAGAGCAGGUAUCUAUUUUAAACUCCUACAUGUUCAGAUUCAGUGGCAACUAAAUAUUUUUCAAUUUGUUCUGUUAAAAUCAGUAACAGUGCUGUGAACAGUUGGGUAUACAUAAACUAGCUUACUUUUCCAUUCACGUUAACACAUUAUAAAUAUGAAGUACAUGAUAAUGAUUAUUCUCAUAGUAGAACAGGCAUCUAUUUAAAACUAUAACUUAUUAUAAAGGUCUACAUUUAAGUCUAAGGUACAAUUUAGCACCAAGAGAAACUAUCAUCUAUUGUCAAUCCAAUUCAUCUUAACCAAGCCCCCUUGGGACCUCUUCUAGUCCUUCUAGAGAGUAUCUGCAUAUUUUUCUAACCUGGAAAAGGUGAGCUCUAAGACUUUGUGCUUUCAACGUCUUGAAAACUAGACUGGGUAAUGUUACUAUGUGGCUAUUUCGUUCAACAUCCCUCUAGUUUACAGUGUUGCCUUAUAGAAUUGCCCUCCCCUUACAUUAAUCGCAGUUUACAUUAUGAGUCCAUGAAUGCGACUCCAAUAUGAAUCAAGUCCAACAUGUGUGUCACUUUAGUAAGGCGUGUCAGGCAUAUCUACUGUCUAUAUUGAAGGUAGAUUCUAGUGAUACUGUACUGAGAUUUAGCCCUUUGGGGGGCAGAAAAUUAACUAUAAUUUACUAAUUAUGCCAACAAAUUAAUAAUUAAUUCAUGUUUUCCCAAGCUCUUGAUAUGAGGCAUGAAGAGUGAAUAUGAGUCAUAGGGACUGGCAGGAAUAUAUGGCUGUAACUAGGAACAGGAUCAUCAAAAUAGGAAUUUAGACUGAGGAGGUUCAUCUGUGUUCCUUAAAUUACAGUUUGUUAUGUGCACAGAAGAUCAUGAACAGAUGGGUGAAAAGUCAGAUUCCUAGACUAUUUUGAGCUCUUCUGAUACCACUGCUGCCUUGAUCUUUAAUCUUCCUAGGUUCCAAAUUUGGAUUUUCCUCUCUGUUUGAACUUCCCUCUGAUUAUACAGCAUCAAUGUUUUUUCUGUUGGGUUUGGAAUAUCCCUCUAAAAUCAUUUUAUAUUCUGUGAAAACUCUUUGUGGUCUUUAUUCUGAGAAAGCCACCCCUUGCCUGAUUUGAAGUAUGUGGAUGAACACAGAGGAAAAUGAAAAUCAUUAAUAUAGAAUUCUUAACAUAGAUUUAUGAAUCACCAGCUAAAUAACAUAAUCUGUACAAUAAACACUCACUCAAGGUUAAGAAAUGGGGACCAAGAAAGAACAUCACUUGAGAUGUAUCAGAAAAACAGAAAAAAGAUG
ensembl:lncRNA